rnacentral:misc_RNA from 1 species
GAUGAAGAACGUAGCGAAAUGCGAUAAGUAGUGUGAAUUGCAGAAUUCAGUGAAUCAUCGAAUCUUUGAACGCACAUUGCGCCCUUUGGUAUUCCAAAGGGCAUGCCUGUUCGAGCGUCAUUUGUACCCUCAAGCUUUGCUUGGUGUUGGGCGUCUUGUCUCUAGCUUUGCUGGAGACUCGCCUUAAAGUAAUUGGCAGCCGGCCUACUGGUUUCGGAGCGCAGCACAAGUCGCACUCUCUAUCAGCAAAGGUCUAGCAUCCAUUAAGCCUUUUUUUCAACUUUUGACCUCGGAUCAGGUAGGGAUACCCGCUGAACUUAAGCAUAUCAAUAAGCGGAGG